rnacentral:rRNA from 1 species
GACGAACGCUGGCGGCGUGCCUAAUACAUGCAAGUUGAGCGCUGAAUGUUGGUACUUGUACCAACUGGUUGAGCAGCGAACGGGUGAGUAACGCGUGGGGAAUCUGCCUUUGAGCGGGGGACAACAUUUGGAAACGAAUGCUAAUACCGCAUAAAAACUUUAAACACAAGUUUUAAGUUUGAAAGAUGCAAUUGCAUCACUCAAAGAUGAUCCCGCGUUGUAUUAGCUAGUUGGUGAGGUAAAGGCUCACCAAGGCGAUGAUACAUAGCCGACCUGAGAGGGUGAUCGGCCACAUUGGGACUGAGACACGGCCCAAACUCCUACGGGAGGCAGCAGUAGGGAAUCUUCGGCAAUGGACGAAAGUCUGACCGAGCAACGCCGCGUGAGUGAAGAAGGGUUUCGGAUCGUAAAACUCUGUUGGUAGAGAAGAACGUUGGUGAGAGUGGAAAGCUCAUCAAGUGACGGUAACUACCCAGAAAGGGACGGCUAACUACGUG